rnacentral:rRNA from 1 species
UACGUAGGGUGCGAGCGUUGUCCGGAAUUAUUGGGCGUAAAGAGCUUGUAGGUGGUUUGUCGCGUCUGCUGUGAAAAUCCGAGGCUCAACCUCGGACUUGCAGUGUGUACGGGCAGACUAGAGUGUGGUAGGGGGAGACUGGAAUUCCUGGUGUAGCGGUGGAAUGCGCAGAUAUCAGGAGGAACACCGAUGGCGAAGGCAGGUCUCUGGGCCAUUACUGACGCUCAUGCACGAAAGCGUGGGGAGCGAACAGG